rnacentral:rRNA from 1 species
UACGGAGGGCGCAAGCGUUGUUCGGAAUUACUGGGCGUAAGGCGCGUGUAGGCGGCCAGGUAAGUCGGAUGUGAAAGCCCGGGGCCCAACCCCGGAACUGCACCCGAUACUGCCCGGCUGGAGUCCCGGAGAGGAUGGCGGAAUUUCCGGUGUAGAGGUGAAAUUCGUAGAUAUCGGAAGGAACACCAGUGGCGAAGGCGGCCAUCUGGACGGUGACUGACGAUGAGACGCGAAAGCGUGGGGAGCAAACAGG